ACUCCUACGGGAGGCAGCAGUGGGGAAUCUUGGACAAUGGGGGCGAACCCUGAUCCAGCCAUGCCGCGUGAGUGAUGAAGGCCUUAGGGUCGUAAAGCUCUUUCGCCUGUGAUGAUAAUGACAGUAGCAGGUAAAGAAACCCCGGCUAACUCCGUGCCAGCAGCCGCGGUAAUACGGAGGGGGUUAGCGUUGUUCGGAAUUACUGGGGCGUAAAGCGCGCGUAGGCGGAUUAGUCAGUUAGAGGUGAAAUCCCAGGGCUCAACCCUGGAACUGCCUUUAAUACUGCUAGUCUUGAGUUCGAGAGAGGUGAGUGGAAUUCCGAGUGUAGAGGUGAAAUUCGUAGAUAUUCGGAGGAACACCAGUGGCGAAGGCGGCUCACUGGCUCGAUACUGACGCUGAGGUGCGAAAGUGUGGGGAGCAAACAGGAUUAGAUACCCUGGUAGGAUAGCG
rnacentral:rRNA from 1 species